AACGAACGCUGGCGGCAUGCCUAACACAUGCAAGUCGAACGCCAUGGUUUCGGCCAUGGAGUGGCGCACGGGUGAGUAACGCGUGGGAACCUGCCCAGCAGUAUGGGACAACCGCGGGAAACUGCGGCUAAUACCGUAUACGCCCGUCUUUGGGAGACCAGGGGCGGGGAAAGAUUGAUCGCUGUUGGAGGGGCCCGCGUCGGAUUAGGUAGUUGAUGGGGUAAAGGCCUACCAAGCCUGCGAUCCGUAGCUGGUCUGAGAGGAUGAUCAGCCACACUGGGACUGAUACACGGCCCAGACUCCUACGGGAGGCAGCAGUGGGGAAUAUUGGACAAUGGGCGCAAGCCUGAUCCAGCAAUGCCGCGUGAGUGAUGAAGGCCUUAGGGUUGUAAAGCUCUUUCACACGCGACGAUGAUGUCGGUAGCGUGAGAAGAAGCCCCGGCUAACUCCGUGCCAGCAGCCGCGGUAACAC
rnacentral:rRNA from 1 species